CUUUUAUGUGCUCCCAGCCCUCUUGAAAAGGGCCGCUCCGGGACUACGCGUUCCAGAAUGCAGCGGAAAUGGGGGCGGAGCGCUCUCGGUUAGGGGUUUGGGGUUUGGCGGCCUAGAUCCCGGGCACUGGCGGCCCAGCGCUGACCUGGUUGGUGGCAUUGUGUUCCCAACGGCCUCUUGACGACCUCAGCACGGGUUUCCACCUCUCCCCAAGCCACCUAGUGACCCCAGAAUUGACUGGGGAAUGCCUGUGAGCGAUGAUGACCUCACAGGGAACAGCUGACCGCAGGGCUGGGAGAACAGCUGUGCCCCUUCGAGGCUGGAUUUUAGUGGAGGGACACACGCCAAAGACCCCCUCUCUGCUGAGCCCCGUUUGUUGUCUCGGAGCCCACCCGACUCUAGCCGCUGAACUCUGACAUGCUGAGGAAAACUGGGUGGAGCCCUGGGGGUCCCCCUCAGACCCCAGUCUCCGGAACAGGGCCCACUGGAGUCAGCCAGGGUGUGGCAGGCAGGUUAUGCCUCCGCCUCGUUGCCCUGAAAGCCGCAGC
rnacentral:lncRNA from 1 species